GUCAACUGAAGCUUCUUCCCAGCUGACAGACCCUGAGCUAAUUGUCUUUAAUGAGCAGCUGGGCCCGGUUUCCUGGGAUUUGCAUUUGCAGAUAUUCGGGGCAGCAGCACCUCUGUGGAUGGCAGCCAGACUGGCCUUCCAGGGGGUGAUUAUUCCGGCAGCUGAGGAAGACAUUGUUGGAGCAACAGCUUAGAGAAUCAAGGAGAAUGUGACUGUUUGUGUCUUUUAACCCACAAUGAUCCAUGCAACAGUAUCUUCCAGAUUUUCCAAUAGGCCAAAGAGAAAGUCUCCAACGAUGCUGUUAACAUCUUUUGAACACCCGUGGAUCGCGUGUGUGCUCUCCCAGUCUCUUUUGCUCUCUCUCUCACCUGGACAAAGCUGAUCUUGGACCCAGAACUUCUACAGACAAUGCACUUAACACUAUCAGAUACUGCAGUUUACAUGUCAUACAUGUUCCACGUGUGUUUCUUGCUCAUCUCCUGCGAGUGGACUUCAAGAGGAUGAGAGUUUCCAUCUGUUUUGUACUCUAAUAUUCUCAGCACCUGGAGCAGUGUCUGGUGCCCCAUAGGUCCCCGGAAGAAGGAACAUCCAGGGAGUGUGUGAGGGCUGGGGCAGCCACUCCCAGCCCCCUCCUGGCUCCUUGGUCUCCUCUCUGGACAUGGCAUCCCCACCUCCCUGCCCUCACCUCCUCAGCCCUCAAGGGCAGCACAAGAUACGGAAGCUUAUCUCUCAGGGGAAAGGUUUCCAGCUGCAGGCAGACACUCCUCCCUCCCCCACGAGCCCAGCAGUAACCAGCAAGAGCAUCGCCCUCUUUGAAGAGUCCUCUAAAGACAGAGGGUUUGGGGACAGACCCAUGUGGUGCUCCUGAGCAAGCCAGGGAGCAAGCCAUUCCCAGCCC
ensembl:lncRNA